AGGAGUCGAUUGAGCGGUCGAAAGGUGAAAUUUCCGGUGCAUGGUGUUUUCAAGUGAAGAGGGGUUAGCCAUAAGGCUUUGAUACCAAAAUAAGAAAAUCAAUAGAGGAGCAAGAAAAAGGAAGACCAAUAUUUAGCAGAGGAUUUUUCUAUAUUGUAUUUUCCUUGUCAGUCGGCUCAGAUGGCCUUAGAGAUUUAUAUACAACAAAACCCUAAAGCAGGGUCAUAAACCAAUUAAUAACAGAAAUUAUUCCUUUUUGGAUGGUUGGUAAGGGGCAAGGGUUCAACGGGAAGGAUUCGCGACUUUACAUCAGUUCGGCUAAAUGUUCUGCUGGGGCGUCGGCUGAGUCAAACGUGAGACAAAGAACGUUUGAAAUCUAGCAUCUCUGACUCAUGUGCUCGCCAAAAAGGUUACGUGGAAUGUGGGUAUUAUGUGAUGAAGUUUGACAGAGGUUUUACAUUAUCCGUAUACUCCUAUCAAGUCCCUUUUAUGUCACUAUUUUAAAUUUUUAUUUAUUGCGAACUUAGUAUUAAUGAAUUUAUUGCAAUAUUUUUUUUAAUUUAUUUGCUUUGAUGUAGUUUAAUGCUAAGAAGCCUUUUACCUAAGAAGAACUCGUUGAGGUCCGAGUUGAGUGGACAGAGCAUAUCUCAAACUACACUUGAUCGGAUUGUAUGUAUAUAGUGUCACAAUAUAUAUUUGUUUGGUUUUUACUCUGAACAUUUGGUAUCCUUACGCAUUUUGUGCAAUUUAUCUGGUUGUCAAGUUGUCGGAGAGUUUUAUGAAAUUUUGUUAGAAUAUCAUAGGCAUUGUGUAGUUUUGAAACAUAUUGUGUAGUAUUGUUUGGUUGUCAAGUUGUUGGAGAUGUUUUUUUAGUGAAAUUUAUAUAGAUCUUAUACGUUUUAUAUA